rnacentral:rRNA from 1 species
GAAGAAGCGCAUACGGUGGAUGCCUUGGCAGUCAGAGGCGAUGAAAGACGUGGUAGCCUGCGAAAAGCUUCGGGGAGUCGGCAAACAGACUUUGAUCCGGAGAUGUCUGAAUGGGGGAACCCACCUAACAUAAGUUAGGUAUCUUAAGCUGAAUACAUAGGCUUAAGAAGCGAACCAGGGGAACUGAAACAUCUAAGUACCCUGAGGAAAAGAAAUCAACCGAGAUUCCCUUAGUAGUGGCGAGCGAACGGGGACCAGCCCUUAAGCUGUAUUGAUGUUAGCGGAACGCUCUGGAAAGUGCGGCCAUAGUGGGUGAUAGCCCUGUACGCGAAAACAUCUUUGCAGUGAAAUCGAGUAGGACGGAGCACGAGAAACUUUGUCUGAAUAUGGGGGGACCAUCCUCCAAGGCUAAAUACUACUGACUGACCGAUAGUGAACCAGUACCGUGAGGGAAAGGCGAAAAGAACCCCGGAGAGGGGAGUGAAAUAGAUCCUGAAACCGUAUGCGUACAAGCAGUGGGAGCCUACUUUGUUAGGUGACUGCGUACCUUUUGUAUAAUGGGUCAGCGACUUAUAUUCUGUAGCAAGGUUAACCGUAUAGGGGAGCCGCAGGGAAACCGAGUCUUAACUGGGCGUUAAGUUGCAGGGUAUAGACCCGAAACCCGGUGAUCUAUCCAUGGGCAGGUUGAAGGUUGGGUAACACUAACUGGAGGACCGAACCGACUACCUUUGAAAAGUUAGCGGAUGACCUGUGGAUCGGAGUGAAAGGCUAAUCAAGCUCGGAGAUAGCUGGUUCUCCUCGAAAGCUAUUUAGGUAGCGCCUCAUGUAUCACUGUAGGGGGUAGAGCACUGUUUCGGCUAGGGGGUCAUCCCGACUUACCAAACCGAUGCAAACUCCGAAUACCUACAAGUGCCGAGCAUGGGAGACACACGGCGGGUGCUAACGUCCGUCGUGAAGAGGGAAACAACCCAGACCGCCAGCUAAGGUCCCAAAGUCAUGGUUAAGUGGGAAACGAUGUGGGAAGGCACAGACAGCCAGGAUGUUGGCUUAGAAGCAGCCAUCAUUUAAAGAAAGCGUAAUAGCUCACUAGUCGAGUCGGCCUGCGCGGAAGAUGUAACGGGGCUAAACCAUGCACCGAAGCUGCGGCAGCGACACUAUGUGUUGUUGGGUAGGGGAGCGUUCUGUAAGCCGUUGAAGGUGAACUGUGAGGUUUGCUGGAGGUAUCAGAAGUGCGAAUGCUGACAUGAGUAACGACAAUGGGUGUGAAAAACACCCACGCCGAAAGACCAAGGUUUCCUGCGCAACGUUAAUCGACGCAGGGUUAGUCGGUCCCUAAGGCGAGGCUGAAAAGCGUAGUCGAUGGAAAACAGGUUAAUAUUCCUGUACUUCUGGUUAUUGCGAUGGAGGGACGGAGAAGGCUAGGCCAGCUUGGCGUUGGUUGUCCAAGUUUAAGGUGGUAG